rnacentral:rRNA from 1 species
CUUGCUUUCUUUGCUGGCGACCGGCGCACGGGUGAGUAACACGUAUCCAACCUGCCCUUUACUCGGGGAUAGCCCUUCGAAAGAAAGAUUAAUACCCGAUAGCAUAAUGAUUCCGCAUGGUUUCAUUAUUAAAGGAUUCCGGUAAAGGAUGGGGAUGCGUUCCAUUAGGUUGUUGGUGGGGUAACGGCCCACCAAGCCUUCGAUGGAUAGGGGUUCUGAGAGGAAGGUCCCCCACAUUGGAACUGAGACACGGUCCAA